CACGUAGGGGGCAAGCGUUGUCCGGAUUUAUUGGGCGUAAAGGGCUCGUAGGCGGUUCGGCAAGUCGGGUGUGAAAGCCCCAGGCUCAACCCGGGAACUGCACUCGAAACUGCCUUUCUUGAGUGCCGGAGAGGAAAGCGGAAUUCCUGGUGUAGAGGUGAAAUUCGUAGAUAUCAGGAGGAACACCAGUGGCGAAGGCGGCUUUCUGGACGGUAACUGACGCUGAGACGCGAAAGCGUGGGGAGCAAACAGG
rnacentral:rRNA from 1 species